GUACAAACUGCCUCUGAUAGUUCUUCAGUCUAUUUGCUACCGUCUUUCUCUUGCCUACUCAUAUCUUUAAUUAGUUUGUGUUUAAAAUCAUAUCUUAUGGUAGGCCAAGCAGCUGCCUUAAAACCUUUUAAUGUUGCUAAUGAAGUUGGUUGUGCGAAAAAUGUCACCCGUGUACUAAUGCAGGAGUAACAGAAAAGUGGUUGAUUUGGUAUCUUUAGGGAUAGUGUGC
rnacentral:misc_RNA from 1 species